UACGUAGGGUGCAAGCGUUGUCCGGAAUUAUUGGGCGUAAAGAGCUCGUAGGUGGCCUGUCGCGUCGGCUGUGAAAACUCGGGGCUCAACUCCGAGCUUGCAGUCGAUACGGGCAGGCUAGAGUUCGGCAGGGGAGACUGGAAUUCCUGGUGUAGCGGUGAAAUGCGCAGAUAUCAGGAGGAACACCGGUGGCGAAGGCGGGUCUCUGGGCAGUAACUGACGCUGAGAAGCGAAAGCGUGGGGAGCGAACAGG
rnacentral:rRNA from 1 species